rnacentral:rRNA from 1 species
AGUGAACGCUGGCGGUAGGCCUAACACAUGCAAGUCGAACGGCAGCACAGUAAGAGCUUGCUCUUACGGGUGGCGAGUGGCGGACGGGUGAGGAAUACAUCGGAAUCUACUUUUUCGUGGGGGAUAAUGUAGGGAAACUUACGCUAAUACCGCAUACGACCUACGGGUGAAAGCAGGGGAUCUUCGGACCUUGCGCGAUUGAAUGAGCCGAUGUGGGAUUAGCUAGUUGGCGGGGUACAGGCCCACCCAGGGGACGAUCCGUAGCUGGUCUGAGAGGAUGGUCAGCCACACUGGAACUGAGACACGGACCAGGCUCCUACGGGAGGCGGCAGUGGGGAACAUUGGACAAUGGGCGCGAGCCUGAUCCAGCCAUACCGCGUGGGUGAAGGAGGCCUUCGGGUUGUAAAGCCCUUUUGUUGGGAAAGAAAAGCAGCAGGCUAAUACCCAGCUGUUCUGACGGUACCCAAAGAAUAAGCACCGGCUAACUUCGUG